rnacentral:rRNA from 1 species
UACGUAGGUGGCGAGCGUUGUCCGGAUUUACUGGGUGUAAAGGGCGUGUAGGCGGGAGAUCAAGUCAGAUGUGAAAUACCGCAGCUUAACUGCGGGGCUGCAUUUGAAACUGAACUUCUUGAGUGAUGGAGAGGCAAGCGGAAUUCCUAGUGUAGCGGUGAAAUGCGUAGAUAUUAGGAGGAACACCAGCGGCGAAGGCGGCUUGCUGGACAUUAACUGACGCUGAGGCGCGAAAGCGUGGGGAGCAAACAGGAUUAGAUACCCUGGUAGUCCACGCUGUAAACGAUGGAUACUAGGUGUGGGGGGACUGACCCCUUCCGUGCCGGAGUUAACACAAUAAGUAUCCCACCUGGGGAGUACGGUCGCAAGAUUAAA